ACGGGUGAGUAACACGUGGGCAACCUGCCUGUAAGACUGGGAUAACUUCGGGAAACCGAAGCUAAUACCGGAUAGGAUCUUCUCCUUCAUGGGAGAUGAUUGAAAGAUGGUUUCGGCUAUCACUUACAGAUGGGCCCGCGGUGCAUUAGCUAGUUGGUGAGGUAACGGCUCACCAAGGCAACGAUGCAUCGCCGACCUGAGAGGGUGAUCGGCCACACUGGGACUGAGACACGGCCCAGACUCCUACGGGAGGCAGCAGUAGGGAAUCUUCCGCAAUGGACGAAAGUCUGACGGAGCAACGCCGCGUGAGUGAUGAAGGCUUUCGGGUCGUAAAACUCUGUUGUUAGGGAAGAACAAGUACGAGAGUAACUGCUCGUACCUUGACGGUACCUAACCAGAAAGCCACGGCUAACUACGUGCCAGCAGCCGCGGUAAUACGUAGGUGGCAAGCGUUAUCCGGAAUUAUUGGGCGUAAAGCGCGCGCAGGCGGUUUCUUAAGUCUGAUGUGAAAGCCCACGGCUCAACCGUGGAGGGUCAUUGGAAACUGGGGAACUUGAGUGCAGAAGAGAAAAGCGGAAUUC
rnacentral:rRNA from 1 species